UCUGAAUGGGAGGUUCUGGAAUGGGGAGGCUAUGGGUGAGAUGGAAUGGGUAUGUAUAGUUUUGUAUUUGUGACAGGUAGCAUCUCCUCUGUAACACAGGCUGGCCCAAAACUCACAAUCCUCCUUCCUUGGUGCUUUAGCAUAUCCUUCCAAAACCUAGGUUUAUAAAUCUUGUAGAAUAAGCAAGUGUUAGCUACUUUGUUAGGCAAUCAUCCUCUGUUGCUUCUUUAUGUGUAGAUAAUCAAGGAGGCUACGGAUCUGUUGGGAGGAUGGGAAUGGGAAACAGCUACAGUGGAGGCUAUGGUGCUCCUGAUGGCUUGGGAGGCUAUGGUCGUGGUGGUGGAGGCAGUGGAGGUUACUAUGGGCAAGGUGGAAUGAGUGGAGGUGGAUGGCGUGGGAUGUACUGACAACACCACCCCAACGUACACGUCCUAACACCUGCUCUACUAGACUUUCUUACAGAUUUCUUUUGUAUUUCAAGAACUUUAUAAUGACUGAAGGAAUGUGUUUUCAAGAUAUUAUUUGGUAAAACAACAAACUGUGAUGGGAAAAUCUGUUUUCUGUAGGUUUUAUUUGUUGCAUACUUUGACUUAAAAUAAAUUUUUAUAUUCAAACCAUUGAUGUUGCUACUUUUUAUAUAUAUAGGUACUCCUAAAGAUGUGCUGCCUUCGUAAGAUUUGGGAUGAUGUAUUUUACUGUUAGCAUAGGGCAGUGUUAGAGGGCAAGACUGCAAGUAGGCAUCUGGGAUAGCGCUAACUUUCACUCCUGGACAUCAUGUAAAUAAAAGCCUAAAGAUAGAUCUAGGUGGUUCAAGAAUAUAAGUUAGUAUUCUCUUUUCAGUCUCGUUUAUCGAGCAUAGCUCUGAAUAAUUUAAGAGGUAUCUGGAUUCUAAAUAUUCACAAUUGUAUUAUGAACGGGGGAGGGAGGUAGGAGUAUUGAAAUUAUAGCUUGAGAUUUUAAAACCCUCAUAGCACUUGACUAAGAUACCAAAAAUGUUCCCAAAACUUGAGUUUGUCGGAGUAGUUUGAGUAUUUUCAGUUUCUCACCUAAGAAAAUAGGGUCUUCAAUGGUGUAAAUGACAUUUAGGAAAAUGUAAAACAAUGCUGUAGCUGGUUUUGUGUCUGAAACUGGCUUUGAGUAGUUAAGUGCUCUGUAUAACAAAGGAAAGGUGCUUUCUACUAAUCUUUUAUCACUUUGGUCAAUAAGACAUUUCCCUAAAUUGGCUAAUGGAUCAAAAUGAACCUGUCAAUGUGAACUCAGUUAUUGAACUUGUUACUUGUUUUUGCUAGACAUGCUAUUAAUGUAAUAAAUGUCAACAUGGGAGAUAAAGGAAUGCUGUCUGUGCUAGUA